AGAGCAACUAGAGCAGGCAGUUGAGUGGGGCGGGCGGGGAUGAGGAGGGGGUUGGGUGGCUGGUGGCCCUAGAGGCUGGCCCUAAAGAAUACCUGGACAGCCUGCCACCCUAUUGCUCCAAAAUGAAAAUCCUCUAAAAGGGUCAACUGGUGGCAGGGAACAAAACCCCGCUGAGACUGGCUGAAACACAAGUGGGGCCUGUGCUCAGGGUGCAGGAAGUGGAGCAUCCAAGGGGAGAGAUGGAGUUUCACUCUUGUUGCCCAAGCUGGAGUACAAUGUCACGAUCUUGGCUCACUGCAACCUCCACCUCCUGGGUUCAAGCAAUUCUGCCUCAGCCUCCUGAGUAGCUGGGCUUAUAGAUGACUCUGGGGACGACGACGAGGCUGCCAACCCAGCCGACAAGAGCGAGCUGCACCACACCCUGAAGAAUCUUUCCCUGAAGUUAGAUGACCUCAGCACGUGCAAUGACCUCAUCGCCAAGCACGGCGCCGCACUCCAGCGCUCCCUGACAGAGCUGGACGGCCUCAAGAUCCCAUCUGAGAGU
rnacentral:sRNA from 1 species